rnacentral:lncRNA from 1 species
GCAGGUGAGGGUUUGGAUGUGCAUGAUGUUCUCCCUUCACACACACACUUUCGGCAUAUAUUGAGUGGGGCCCUAUACCCGGGUCUGAGCGUAACUUAGAAUUAGAGGAGUUGUGUAGCGGUGUCACUCUGGGAUGUACUUCCUGUUUGGCUAUCGUGAGAACUCCAGCUAGAGUCUAUUCUCUUCAUGUGUGUUUCCACACCUAGUUGAUUACUCGACUGUUGUGGAGAUGCUUUGAAGGGGN